rnacentral:rRNA from 1 species
GAUGAACGCUGGCGGCGUGCUUAACACAUGCAAGUCGAACGAGAAAUGGAGACGGAAACCUUCGGGCGGAAGGCUUCAUUUCGAGUGGCGGACGGGUGAGUAACGCGUGGGUAACCUGCCUCAUACAGGGGGAUAACAGUUGGAAACGACUGUUAAUACCGCAUAAGACCACAGCACCGCAUGGUGCGGGGGUAAAAACUCCGGUGGUAUGAGAUGGACCCGCGUUCGAUUAGCCAGUUGGCGGGGUAACGGCCCACCAAAGCGACGAUCGAUAGCCGAUCUGAGAGGAUGACCGGCCACAUUGGGACUGAGACACGGCCCAAACUCCUACGGGAGGCAGCAGUGGGGAAUAUUGCACAAUGGGGGAAACCCUGUUGCAGCGACGCCGCGUGAGUGAAGAAGUACUUCGGUAUGUAAAGCUCUAUCAGCAGGGAAGAAAAUGACGGUACCUGAGUAAGAAGCCCCGGCUAACUACGUG